CUCGUGUACAUAUGUACGACGUACGUCUAUGCGUAUCUGUGUGUGCGAUGUAGAGAGAAAGGGAGGAAGGGACACCAGCCGGAAAAGUGAUUCUUAUCUUUGCAAGUACAGGAUCAUUUGAACUCUUCCGAUGUUAUAAGGAGUGGUGUACAUCAAUGGGCGGAGUAAUGCUGCCUAUCAGCUCACAUCGAGAGUAGAGAGGGAAGCUAAAGUACAGGCUGACGCCGGGAGAGGGUCAACAGAGUUCGAGCGCGUGCACCUUGCACUGCAGGACACAAACAGCUUUAGUGACGUCACUCGCUGAGUUCACAGAGUCGCCCAUGAAUAUGAGAUUUUCCGGCUACACAGCUGAUCUUUCAAUUUGGAGGACAGCAGUGCAUCCUCGGUGCCAGAGGACUGAGCAUCAUGCAUGUGUGGAGACAUUUUCUUUUUCUGGAAACUGUGGCUUAUUGGGGAUCCGCCAUUCAAAGCCGUCACGUGGAGGAAAGCGGAAAAAGUGCAAGACCUGUCACGUGACUGCAGCCAGCGUGAGGUCUGUUGAUGCAGGCUUUUGAUCUUUUGUAGCAGCGUGGGUGGAGGUGACAAAGAGCCAGUGCACUUCAUUGGUCGAUCAGAAAAAAAAAAAACCCAGAGA
rnacentral:lncRNA from 1 species